UAGGGAAUUUUCGUCAAUGGGGGAAACCCUGAACGAGCAAUGCCGCGUGAGUGAAGAAGGUCUUCGGAUCGUAAAGCUCUGUUGUAAGCGAAGAACGGCUCAUAGAGGAAAUGCUAUGGGAGUGACGGUAGCUUACCAGAAAGCCACGGCUAACUACGUGCCAGCAGCCGCGGUAAUACGUAGGUGGCAAGCGUUAUCCGGAAUCAUUGGGCGUAAAGGGUGCGUAGGUGGCGUACUAAGUCUGUAGUAAAAGGCAAUGGCUCAACCAUUGUAAGCUAUGGAAACUGGUAUGCUGGAGUGCAGAAGAGGGCGAUGGAAUUCCAUGUGUAGCGGUAAAAUGCGUAGAUAUAUGGAGGAACACCAGUGGCGAAGGCGGUCGCCUGGUCUGUAACUGACACUGAGGCACGAAAGCGUGGGGAGCAAAUAGG
rnacentral:rRNA from 1 species